rnacentral:rRNA from 1 species
GGCGAACGGGUGAGUAACACGUGGGCAAUCUGCCCUUCACUCUGGGACAAGCCCUGGAAACGGGGUCUAAUACCGGAUACCACUCUCCUCCGCAUGGAGGAGGGUUGAAAGCUCCGGCGGUGAAGGAUGAGCCCGCGGCCUAUCAGCUUGUUGGUGGGGUAAUGGCCUACCAAGGCGACGACGGGUAGCCGGCCUGAGAGGGCGACCGGCCACACUGGGACUGAGACACGGCCCAGACUCCUACGGGAGGCAGCAGUGGGGAAUAUUGCACAAUGGGCGAAAGCCUGAUGCAGCGACGCCGCGUGAGGGAUGACGGCCUUCGGGUUGUAAACCUCUUUCAGCAGGGAAGAAGCGAAAGUGACGGUACCUGCAAAAGAAGCGCCGGCUAACUACGUGCCAGCAGCCGCGGUAAUACGUAGGGCGCANGCGUUGUCCGGAAUUAUUGGGCGUAAGAGCUCGUAAGCGGCUUGUCCCGUCCGAUGUGAAACCCCGGGGCUUAA